ACUCAAAGGAAUAGACGGGGGUCCGCACAAGCGGUGGAACAUGUGGUUUAAUUCGACAAUACGCGAGAAACCUUACCUAGGCUUGACAUGCUUUUGACAGUCGUAGAAAUACGAUCUUCUAGAUUUCGGUUUAGACAGAAGCACAGGUGCUGCAUGGCUGUCGUCAGCUCGUGUCGUGAGAUGUUAGGUUAAGUCCUCUAACGAGCGCAACCCUUACUGCCAGUUGCUAAUCACUUUUAGUGGUGCACUCUGGUGGGACUGCCUGGGAAACCAGGAGGAAGGUGGGGAUGACGUCAAGUCAUCAUGGUCCUUAUGUCUAGGGCUACACACGUGUUACAAUGGUCGGUACAAAAGGCUGCAAACUUGCAAAAGUAAGCAAAUCCUAUAAAGCCGAUCUAAGUUCGGAUUGGGGUCUGCAACUCGACCCCAUGAAGUUGAAAUCGCUAGUAAUCGCGUAUCAGCAACGACGCGGUGAAUACGUUCACGGACCUUGUACACACCGCCCGU
rnacentral:rRNA from 1 species